GCGUUGUGGCUAUGGCUACCACGCUUACGACGGGUAGCCGGCCUGAGAGGGCGACCGGCCACACUGGGACUGAGAUACGGCCCAGACUCCUACGGGAGGCAGCAGUGGGGAAUAUUGCACAAUGGGCGAAAGCCUGAUGCAGCGACGCCGCGUGAGGGAUGACGGCCUUCGGGUUGUAAACCUCUUUCAGCAGGGACGAAGCGAAAGUGACGGUACCUGCAGAAGAAGCACCGGCCAACUACGUGCCACCAGCCGCGGCCG
rnacentral:rRNA from 1 species